rnacentral:rRNA from 1 species
AUUGAACGCUGGCGGCAGGCCUAACACAUGCAAGUCGAACGAGUGGCGGACGGGUGAGUAAUGUCUGGGAAACUGCCUGAUGGAGGGGGAUAACUACUGGAAACGGUAGCUAAUACCGCAUACCAUCGGAUGUGCCCAGAUGGGAUUAGCUAGUUGGGGGGGUAAAGGCUCACCUAGGCGACGAUCGCUAGCUGGUCUGAGAGGAUGACCAGCCACAAUGGAACUUAGACACGUUCCAGACUCCUACGGGAGGCAGCAGUUGGGAAUAUUGCACAAGGGGGGCAAGCCUGAUGCAGCCAUGCCGCGUGAAUGAAGAAGGCCUUCGGGUUGUAAAGUACUUUCAGCGGGGAGGCGUUACCCGCAGAAGAAGCACCGGCUAACUCCGUGCCAGCAGCCGCGGUAAUUC